GAGGUUGAAAUUCCUAUAAUGUUGGAUAGCGGUGGCUCGUGACAAGAGGGAGAGCGAGGAUCUCCCGUGGAGACCCGGAUAGAGACGUCAGCGGAAAAAAGCCGUUGGAGAUGGGCAGUUGGUGAGGAGAGAGAGAGAAGCAAGAGCGGCACUGCGGAGAGGGAAGACGGAGCCUGAACGAGGAAGGACGGCUGGGUGACGGAGAAAUAAAAGGAUUGACCGGCGGCUGUGACAGGCAGAGAGCGGGGACGGUUUCCCGGUAUCGGAGGAAACCGUAGAGCGGAAAGGAAGACGAGAGCCGUGGCAGGUCUGGGAGCUGGGGGAGCGGAGCAGAACAGAAGUACCGAGGACAGCGCAGCAGAGAGAGACGUGGAUACCUGAUACACUGAACAAGCAAAAAGUUCAAACAGAUAAAGGAGAGACGAUUUAUGAAACACGCACGCCGUUUGCUGGAGUAUGGGGAAUGAAUAAGUAUGUGAGUCCUGCAAGAUGUGCAAGUGGAAGGAGGAUUAUGCGCAUUUUAUAUUUAUUCAGAAUCCUGAAUCUAUGCCGAGUAGACAGGAGCCAGGAUUAAGAGAAGUACCUACCUCCUACCAUGACAACCAUGCUGCACGGGAUAGAAUGUAGUAACACUACAGAAGAAACGAGUAAUAUUGGACCAUCUAAUUUCAUGCAACCUCGAGGUUUACUUUCUGUAAUUUAUAUUCU